GACGAACGCUGGCGGCGUGCUUAACACAUGCAAGCCGAACGGAAAGGCCCUGCUUUUGUGGGGUGCUCGAGUGGCGAACGGGUGAGUAACACGUGAGUAACCUGCCCUUGACUUUGGGAUAACUUCAGGAAACUGGGGCUAAUACCGGAUAGGAGCUCCUGCUGCAUGGUGGGGGUUGGAAAGUUUCGGCGGUUGGGGAUGGACUCGCGGCUUACCAGCUUGUUGGUGGGGCAGUGGCUUACCAAGGCUUUGACGGGUAGCCGGCCUGAGAGGGUGACCGGCCACAUUGGGACUGAGAUACGGCCCAGACUCCUACGGGAGGCAGCAGUGGGGAAUAUUGCACAAUGGGCGGAAGCCUGAUGCAGCAACGCCGCGUGCGGGAUGACGGCCUUCGGGUUGUAAACCGCUUUCGCCUGUGACGAAGCGUGAGUGACGGUAAUGGGUAAAGAAGCACCGGCUAACUACGUG
rnacentral:rRNA from 1 species